rnacentral:rRNA from 1 species
CCUACGGGAGGCAGCAGUGAGGAAUAUUGGUCAAUGGGCGCGAGCCUGAACCAGCCAAGUCGCGUGAGGGAAGACGGUCCUAUGGAUUGUAAACCUCGUUUGUCGGGGAGCAAAAGACGCCACGCGUGGCGUUCCGAGAGUACCCGAAGAAAAAGCAUCGGCUAACUCCGUGCCAGCAGCCGCGGUAAUACGGGGGAUGCGAGCGUUAUCCGGAUUUGUUGGGUUAAAAGGGUGCUCAGACGGAAGAGCAAGUCAGCGGUAAAAUUGAGAGGCUCAACCUCUUCGAGCCGUUGAAACUGGUUUUCUUGAGUGAGCGAGAAGUAUGCGGAAUUCGUGGUGUAGCGGUGAAAUGUAUAGAUAGCACGAAGAACUUCGAUUGCGAAGGCAGCAUACCGGCGCUCAACUGACGCUCAUGCACGAAAGUGUGGGUAUCGAACAGGAUUAGAUACCCUUGUAGUC